UAGGGAAUCUUCGGCAAUGGGGGGAACCCUGACCGAGCAACGCCGCGUGAGUGAAGAAGGUUUUCGGAUCGUAAAGCUCUGUUGUUAAGGAAGAACGAGUGUGAGAAUGGAAAGUUCAUGCUGUGACGGUACUUAACCAGAAAGGGACGGCUAACUACGUGCCAGCAGCCGCGGUAAUACGUAGGUCCCGAGCGUUAUCCGGAAUUAUUGGGCGUAAAGCGCGCGUAGGCGGUUUUUUAAGUCUGAUGUGAAAGCCCCCGGCUCAACCGGGGAGGGUCAUUGGAAACUGGUUGACUUGAGUGCAGAAGAGGAGAGUGGAAUUCCAUGUGUAGCGGUGAAAUGCGUAGAUAUAUGGAGGAACACCAGUGGCGAAGGCGACUCUCUGGUCUGUAACUGACGCUGAGGCUCGAAAGCGUGGGUAGCAAACAGG
rnacentral:rRNA from 1 species